rfam:Glycine soja cultivar W05 scaffold1774_23, whole genome shotgun sequence.
AGGGAUUCUACAGGGUCGUCCUGAGAUCACAUGAAGUAGAAUAUAAGCAGCCAUAUUUGCUUCUUGUCUCGUGUUCUCAGCUCAUGUGUUCUCAGGUCGCCCCUGCUGGACUAUU